rnacentral:rRNA from 6 species
AAAUUGAAGAGUUUGAUCAUGGCUCAGAUUGAACGCUGGCGGCAGGCCUAACACAUGCAAGUCGAACGGUAACAGGAAGCAGCUUGCUGCUUUGCUGACGAGUGGCGGACGGGUGAGUAAUGUCUGGGAAACUGCCUGAUGGAGGGGGAUAACUACUGGAAACGGUGGCUAAUACCGCAUAACGUCGCAAGACCAAAGAGGGGGACCUUCGGGCCUCUUGCCAUCAGAUGUGCCCAGAUGGGAUUAGCUUGUUGGUGAGGUAACGGCUCACCAAGGCGACGAUCCCUAGCUGGUCUGAGAGGAUGACCAGCCACACUGGAACUGAGACACGGUCCAGACUCCUACGGGAGGCAGCAGUGGGGAAUAUUGCACAAUGGGCGCAAGCCUGAUGCAGCCAUGCCGCGUGUAUGAAGAAGGCCUUCGGGUUGUAAAGUACUUUCAGCGGGGAGGAAGGUGUUGUGGUUAAUAACCGCAGCAAUUGACGUUACCCGCAGAAGAAGCACCGGCUAACUCCGUGCCAGCAGCCGCGGUAAUACGGAGGGUGCAAGCGUUAAUCGGAAUUACUGGGCGUAAAGCGCACGCAGGCGGUCUGUCAAGUCGGAUGUGAAAUCCCCGGGCUCAACCUGGGAACUGCAUUCGAAACUGGCAGGCUUGAGUCUUGUAGAGGGGGGUAGAAUUCCAGGUGUAGCGGUGAAAUGCGUAGAGAUCUGGAGGAAUACCGGUGGCGAAGGCGGCCCCCUGGACAAAGACUGACGCUCAGGUGCGAAAGCGUGGGGAGCAAACAGGAUUAGAUACCCUGGUAGUCCACGCCGUAAACGAUGUCUACUUGGAGGUUGUGCCCUUGAGGCGUGGCUUCCGGAGCUAACGCGUUAAGUAGACCGCCUGGGGAGUACGGCCGCAAGGUUAAAACUCAAAUGAAUUGACGGGGGCCCGCACAAGCGGUGGAGCAUGUGGUUUAAUUCGAUGCAACGCGAAGAACCUUACCUGGUCUUGACAUCCACGGAAGAAUUCAGAGAUGGAUUUGUGCCUUCGGGAACCGUGAGACAGGUGCUGCAUGGCUGUCGUCAGCUCGUGUUGUGAAAUGUUGGGUUAAGUCCCGCAACGAGCGCAACCCUUAUCCUUUGUUGCCAGCGGUCCGGCCGGGAACUCAAAGGAGACUGCCAGUGAUAAACUGGAGGAAGGUGGGGAUGACGUCAAGUCAUCAUGGCCCUUACGACCAGGGCUACACACGUGCUACAAUGGCGCAUACAAAGAGAAGCGACCUCGCGAGAGCAAGCGGACCUCAUAAAGUGCGUCGUAGUCCGGAUUGGAGUCUGCAACUCGACUCCAUGAAGUCGGAAUCGCUAGUAAUCGUGGAUCAGAAUGCCACGGUGAAUACGUUCCCGGGCCUUGUACACACCGCCCGUCACACCAUGGGAGUGGGUUGCAAAAGAAGUAGGUAGCUUAACCUUCGGGAGGGCGCUUACCACUUUGUGAUUCAUGACUGGGGUGAAGUCGUAACAAGGUAACCGUAGGGGAACCUGCGGUUGGAUCACCUCCUUACCU